GUGCCAUAAAAGGAUUGCAACUCGAAUAAAUCACAAGUGACGUUAAAUAUUUUGAGUUGUCGGUGCAGUGGUUUUUGAUUUGUUUUCAUUGUCCAGAAUUAAAUAAGAAUAUAUAUUUCAGUUUAUCUUGUCACUAGAAAUAUCAUUUGCAUAAGUUCACGGCCGACACUCGGCUAACCGAGAGAUUGGUCGGUUAAUCUAUAUUGAGUAUGCGGCUAUAUCGGCGGUUGGUCUGUUAAUCGGGUUGGCUAAAGUCUGUUAAUCAGGUGUUAUCGAGAAAAUCAUUGAAAACUCAGCAUGUUUCAUUGUAUAACCUUCUAAAUAUAUGUUUAUCAUAAAAAAUAUUUAUGUCUAACAAAACUAUUUAAUGUACUGAAUCCAGUGGUGUAAUUAUUAUUUUUCUAGCUUCUAUGUACGAUCUAUAAAAUGAAAAGGCAAGUU
rnacentral:lncRNA from 1 species